UACGUAGGGUGCGAGCGUUGUCCGGAAUUAUUGGGCGUAAAGAGCUCGUAGGCGGUCUGUCGCGUCGGUCGUGAAAACUUGGGGGCUUAACCCUGAGCUUGCGGUCGAUACGGGCAUGACUGGAGUUCGGCAGGGGGAGACUGGAAUUCCUGGUGUAGCGGUGAAAUGCGCAGAUAUCAGGAAGAACACCCCGUGGCGAAGGCGGUUCUCUGGGACGGUACUGACGCUGAGACGCGAAAGCGUGGGGAGCGAACAGG
rnacentral:rRNA from 1 species